GGCUCAGGAUGAACGCUAGCUACAGGCUUAACACAUGCAAGUCGAGGGGCAUCAGGAAGAAAGCUUGCUUUCUUUGCUGGCGACCGGCGCACGGGUGAGUAACACGUAUCCAACCUGCCCUUUACUCGGGGAUAGCCUUUCGAAAGAAAGAUUAAUACCCGAUAGCAUAAUGAUUCCGCAUGGUUUCAUUAUUAAAGGAUUCCGGUAAAGGAUGGGGAUGCGUUCCAUUAGGUUGUUGGUGAGGUAACGGCCCACCAAGCCUUCGAUGGAUAGGGGUUCUGAGAGGAAGGUCCCCCACAUUGGAACUGAGACACGGUCCAAACUCCUACGGGAGGCAGCAGUGAGGAAUAUUGGUCAAUGGGCGCUAGCCUGAACCAGCCAAGUAGCGUGAAGGAUGAAGGCUCUAUGGGUCGUAAACUUCUUUUAUAUAAGAAUAAAGUGCAGUAUGUAUACUGUUUUGUAUGUAUUAUAUGAAUAAGGAUCGGCUAACUCCGUGCCAGCAGCCGCGGUAAUACGGAGGAUCCGAGCGUUAUCCGGAUUUAUUGGGUUUAAAGGGAGCGUAGGUGGACUGGUAAGUCAGUUGUGAAAGUUUGCGGCUCAACCGUAAAAUUGCAGUUGAUACUGUCAGUCUUGAGUACAGUAGAGGUGGGCGGAAUUCGUGGUGUAGCGGUGAAAUGCUUAGAUAUCACGAAGAACUCCGAUUGCGAAGGCAGCUCACUGGACUGCAACUGACACUGAUGCUCGAAAGUGUGGGUAUCAAACAGGAUUAGAUACCCUGGUAGUCCACACAGUAAACGAUGAAUACUCGCUGUUUGCGAUAUACAGUAAGCGGCCAAGCGAAAGCAUUAAGUAUUCCACCUGGGGAGUACGCCGGCAACGGUGAAACUCAAAGGAAUUGACGGGGGCCCGCACAAGCGGAGGAACAUGUGGUUUAAUUCGAUGAUACGCGAGGAACCUUACCCGGGCUUAAAUUGCAGUGGAAUGAUGUGGAAACAUGUCAGUGAGCAAUCACCGCUGUGAAGGUGCUGCAUGGUUGUCGUCAGCUCGUGCCGUGAGGUGUCGGCUUAAGUGCCAUAACGAGCGCAACCCUUAUCUUUAGUUACUAACAGGUUAUGCUGAGGACUCUAGAGAGACUGCCGUCGUAAGAUGUGAGGAAGGUGGGGAUGACGUCAAAUCAGCACGGCCCUUACGUCCGGGGCUACACACGUGUUACAAUGGGGGGUACAGAAGGCAGCUAGCGGGUGACCGUAUGCUAAUCCCAAAAUCCUCUCUCAGUUCGGAUCGAAGUCUGCAACCCGACUUCGUGAAGCUGGAUUCGCUAGUAAUCGCGCAUCAGCCACGGCGCGGUGAAUACGUUCCCGGGCCUUGUACACACCGCCCGUCAAGCCAUGGGAGCCGGGGGUACCUGAAGUACGUAACCGCAAGGAUCGUCCUAGGGUAA
rnacentral:rRNA from 1 species